rnacentral:rRNA from 1 species
UACGUAGGGUGCAAGCAUUAAUCGGAAUUACUGGGCGUAAAGCGUGCGCAGGCGGUUUUGUAAGUCUGUCGUGAAAUCCCCCGGGCUCAACCUGGGAAUUGCGAUGGAGACUGCAAGGCUAGAAUCUGGCAGAGGGGGGUAGAAUUCCACGUGUGAGCAGUGAAAUGCGUAGAGAUGUGGAGGAACACCGAUGGCGAAGGCAGCCCCUGGGUCAAGAUUGACGCUCAUGCACGAAAGCGUGGGGAGCAAACAGG